GAUGAACGCUAGCGGCAGGCCUAACACAUGCAAGUCGAGGGGCAUCGCGGUGCAGCAAUGCACUGGCGGCGACCGGCGUACGGGUGCGUAACGCGUAUGCAACCUGCCCCGCACCGGGGGAUAGCCCGCCGAAAGGCGGAUUAAUACCCCAUGGUCCCGGGGGCCCGCAUGGGCAUCCGGGUAAAGCCUUGGCGGUGCGGGAUGGGCAUGCGUGCCAUUAGCUGGCUGGUGGGGUAACGGCCCACCAGGGCAACGAUGGCUAGGGGGUCUGAGAGGAUGGUCCCCCACACUGGUACUGAGACACGGACCAGACUCCUACGGGAGGCAGCAGUGAGGAAUAUUGGUCAAUGGGCGGAAGCCUGAACCAGCCAUGCCGCGUGCGGGAUGAAGGCCCUACGGGUUGUAAACUGCUUUUAGCCGGGAAUAAACACCCGUUUUAUAACGGGCCCGAAGGUACCGGCUGAAUAAGCAUCGGCUAACUCCGUG
rnacentral:rRNA from 1 species